GGCCCCGUAGCUCAGUGGAUUAGAGCAGCCGCCUUCUAAGCGGCAGGUCGCAGGUUCGAGCCCUGCCGGGGUCGCCA
rnacentral:tRNA from 1 species